AACGCGAAGAACCUUACCAGGGCUUGACAUUGAGCGAAAGAUUCAGAGAUGAAUCCCUUACCUUCGGGUAACGCGAAAACAGGUGGUGCAUGGCUGUCGUCAGCUCGUGUCGUGAGAUGUUGGGUUAAGUCCCGCAACGAGCGCAACCCUUAUCCUUUGUUGCCAGCACGUAAAGGUGGGAACUCAAGGGAGACUGCCGCAGACAAUGCGGAGGAAGGCGGGGAUGACGUCAAGUCAUCAUGCCCCUUAUGUCCUGGGCUACACACGUACUACAAUGGGCUUAAACAAAGUGAAGCAAAACCGCGAGGUUGAGCGAAACACACAAACAAGCUCUCAGUUCGGAUCGGAGGCUGCAACUCGCCUCCGUGAAGUCGGAAUCGCUAGUAAUCGCAGGUCAGCAUACUGCGGUGAAUACGUUCCCGGGUCUUGUACACACCG
rnacentral:rRNA from 1 species